rnacentral:rRNA from 1 species
GACGAACGCUGGCGGCGUGCUUAACACAUGCAAGUCGAACGGAAAGGCCCUGCUUUUGUGGGGUGCUCGAGUGGCGAACGGGUGAGUAACACGUGAGUAACCUGCCCUUGACUUUGGGAUAACUUCAGGAAACUGGGGCUAAUACCGGAUAGGAGCUCCUGCUGCAUGGUGUGGGUUGGAAAGUUUCGGCGGUUGGGGAUUGACUCGCGGCUUAUCAGCUUGUUGGUGGGGUAGUGGCUUACCAAGGCUUUGACGGGUAGCCGGCCUGAGAGGGUGACCGGCCACAUUGGGACUGAGAUAAGGCCCAGAAUCCUACGGGAGGCAGCAGUGGGGAAUAUUGCACAAUGGGCGGAAGCCUGAUGCAGCAACGCCGCGUGCGGGAUGACGGCCUUCGGGUUGUAAACCGCUUUCGCCUGUGACGAAGCGUGAGUGACGGUAAUGGGUAAAGAAGCACCGGCUAACUACGUG